rnacentral:sRNA from 1 species
CUAUCAAUUGGCAAGACACCACAGGCUACCAUCUCAUGCCUUGAGCUUGAAAAGGAAGGGAAGACCAGACCUGGACAAUCACAGAGAAUGAGUUCUUCUGAGAUUACCAAUGUCUGAAAAUGCUUGGUCUUGCCAGGUGUAGAGGUUACACCAGUUCUCUUCUGGCCUACCAAAGCAUUGAUGGUUGAACUCUUCCCAACAUUUGGAUAGCCUACAAAUCCAACAACCACAUGCUUGGGUCGUGUUGAGACAGAAUCUGAACGACUAGAUUCAUGACCCUCUUCAGCUCUUAAUGCUCCCUUUUGGUUCACAAUAUACUCAGCUUCACCCUGCAAUCUCACCAAGAGUUCAUCCCGGCCAUAUAUCUUGGUGUCAAGAUCUGCUGUAUUCCAGUUUUCCAUGGAAUAGCUGCUCAACUUCUUUCCCUCUAAAUCAGCAGUAGCAGCUUUGGCAGACCAGAACAGAUAAAGGAUAUCGUGUUGCUUAAAGUAUUCUGCCCAUCUCUACCUGACAUUCAGUGGUAAAAGAUCAGCCUUGUUUACAAGAAGCAGUGUUCUCUUGUGCUCAUCAAUUUCCUGUG